AGCGAACGCUGGCGGCAGGCUUAACACAUGCAAGUCGAACGGGCAUCUUCGGAUGUCAGUGUCAGACGGGUGAGUAACACGUGGGAACGUACCCUUCGGUUCGGAAUAACUCAGGGAAACUUGAGCUAAUACCGGAUACGCCCUUUUGGGGAAAGGUUUACUGCCGAAGGAUCGGCCCGCGUCUGAUUAGCUUGUUGGUGGGGUAACGGCCUACCAAGGCGACGAUCAGUAGCUGGUCUGAGAGGAUGAUCAGCCACACUGGGACUGAGACACGGCCCAGAAUCCUACGGGAGGCAGCAGUGGGGAAUAUUGGACAAUGGGCGCAAGCCUGAUCCAGCCAUGCCGCGUGAGUGAUGAAGGCCUUAGGUUUGUAAAGUUCUUUUGUCCGGGACGAUAAUGACGGUACCGGAAGAAUAAGCCCCGGCUAACUACGUG
rnacentral:rRNA from 1 species